rnacentral:tRNA from 1 species
GCGCCUGUAGCUCAGGUGGAUAGAGCAGUGGACUUCUAAUCCACGGGUCGGGGGUUCGAAUCCUCCCAGGCGCG